rnacentral:rRNA from 1 species
AUUGAACGCUGGCGGCAGGCCUAACACAUGCAAGUCGAACGAGUGGCGGACGGGUGAGUAAUGUCUGGGAAACUGACUGAUGGAGGGGGAUAACUACUGGAAACGGUAGCUAAUACCGCAUACCAUCAGAUGUGCCCAGAUGGGAUUGGCUUGUUGGUGGGGUAACGGCUCACCAAGGGGUAGAUCCCUAGCUGGGCUGAGAGGAUGACCAUACACACUGGAGCCUAGCAACGGUCCAUACGCCAACGGGAGGCAGCAGGGGGGAAUGUUGCACAAUGGGGUCAAGCCUGAUGCCGCCAGGCCGCGUGUUUGAAGAAGGCCUUCGGGUUGUAAAGUACUUUCAGCGGGGAGGCGUUACCCGCAGAAGAAGCACCGGCUAACUCCGUGCCAGCCGCCGCGGUAAUAC